UAAGAAUACUGUUGAUAAAUAAUAAUUCUUGUUUUUAAAAUGACACAUAUUUACCGUUUAAAAUAUCGAUGUUAUCUAAACAAUGACCUUAUUUACCUUAUUGGUUCUCCUUUGCAGUUAUAAGAAUACACUAUAAACUAGAAAAUAUAUGUAUGCUAAUGUGUGAAGGUUUGCGACUGUUAAAACAUUUAAACCCGCUGCAUUUUUUGCACCUGUCCGACGCCUAUUAGUCAGCAGUUGUCUUUUGUUGGAGUGGUUCAUAUUUGUUUCUCGUUUCUCGUAUUUUAUAUAACCUUUUUUUUUCCUGAUUCAACUGAUUUUCACUUGUCAUUUUAGUGCUUUUUUGCUUGCUGUUCGGUUGACCUCAGUUAUCCGCUUAGUAUUUAUACUUUGUAACUGGGAUGAAGAGUUGUCGCAUUGGUACUCAUAACACAUUUUCAUAUUCAUAUUGAACAUUGGGACGGGAUGAUUGAACUACGUUUGAUGUCAUUUGAGGUUACCUUGAAACUAGGAAGAGCCGUGGCGUAGUAGGAACCGAUACGGGCUACUAACACAUAGGUUACUGGUUCGAUCCUAGAGCUCGUUCCUGGGGAAAAAUGAGUGACUUUUCGUCUAUUCCUUGUCACCAUUUGUUGGUAUGGUCUUGGGAAACGAUCAUAGUCUGUCGGGAGGGGACGACACAUGGUUGACCCGUGUUCAGAGAGAGCACGUAAAAGGCGCUUAUAAAGAUUUCGAAAAAGAGAAGGAUAAUGCCGGUACAAGGCAGCACUUGCACCCGCAAAGUGGAAAGGGAUUUGUAUAAGUUGCAAUAACUUGUUUCCAAAUUCAUUAGUAAUAAAAAUGUUUAAACUGAGGUUCUAAUGUUUCUUCACAAUAAUUGUCUCGUCUAAUGUGCACGCAAUAAAAAUGUUUAAAAAUAAAG
rnacentral:lncRNA from 1 species